rnacentral:rRNA from 1 species
CUCCUUUGACGUUAGCGGCGGACGGGUGAGUAACACGUGGGUAACCUACCUAUAAGACUGGGAUAACUUCGGGAAACCGGAGCUAAUACCGGAUAAUAUUUCGAACCGCAUGGUUCGAUAGUGAAAGAUGGUUUUGCUAUCACUUAUAGAUGGACCCGCGCCGUAUAGCUAGUUGGUAAGGUAACGGCUUACCAAGGCGACGAUACGUAGCCGACCUGAGAGGGUGAUCGGCCACACUGGAACUGAGACACGGUCCAGACUCCUACGGGAGGCAGCAGG